rnacentral:rRNA from 1 species
UACGAAGGGGGCUAGCGUUGCUCGGAAUCACUGGGCGUAAAGGGUGCGUAGGCGGGUCUUUAAGUCAGGGGUGAAACCCUGGAGCUCAACUCCAGAACUGCCUUUGAUACUGAAGAUCUUGAGUUCGGGAGAGGUGAGUGGAACUGCGAGUGUAGAGGUGAAAUUCGUAGAUAUUCGCAAGAACACCAGUGGCGAAGGCGGCUCACUGGCCCGAUACUGACGCUGAGGCACGAAAGCGUGGGGAGCGAACAGG